rnacentral:rRNA from 1 species
ACGCUGGCGGCAGGCCUAACACAUGCAAGUCGAGCGGUAGAGAGAAGCUUGCUUCUCUUGAGAGCGGCGGACGGGUGAGUAAUGCCUAGGAAUCUGCCUGGUAGUGGGGGAUAACGUUCGGAAACGGACGCUAAUACCGCAUACGUCCUACGGGAGAAAGCAGGGGACCUUCGGGCCUUGCGCUAUCAGAUGAGCCUAGGUCGGAUUAGCUAGUUGGUGAGGUAAUGGCUCACCAAGGCGACGAUCCGUAACUGGUCUGAGAGGAUGAUCAGUCACACUGGAACUGAGACACGGUCCAGACUCCUACGGGAGGCAGCAGUGGGGAAUAUUGGACAAUGGGCGAAAGCCUGAUCCAGCCAUGCCGCGUGUGUGAAGAAGGUCUUCGGAUUGUAAAGCACUUUAAGUUGGGAGGAAGGGCAGUUACCUAAUACGUGAUUGUUUUGACGUUACCGACAGAAUAAGCACCGGCUAACUCUGUGCCAGCAGCCGCGGUAAUACAGAGGGUGCAAGCGUUAAUCGGAAUUACUGGGCGUAAAGCGCGCGUAGGUGGUUAGUUAAGUUGGAUGUGAAAUCCCCGGGCUCAACCUGGGAACUGCAUUCAAAACUGACUGACUAGAGUAUGGUAGAGGGUGGUGGAAUUUCCUGUGUAGCGGUGAAAUGCGUAGAUAUAGGAAGGAACACCAGUGGCGAAGGCGACCACCUGGACUGAUACUGACACUGAGGUGCGAAAGCGUGGGGAGCAAACAGGAUUA